rnacentral:tRNA from 1 species
CUUCGUUUCUCUUUCUUCGCGGACGAACACGCGCUGGGCCUGCAACGGCAGGAUCCAGGGUCCUUAACGGGAUGUGCGUUAGGGGCUUGUAGCUCAGUUGGUUAGAGCGCGCGCUUGAUAAGCGUGAGGUCGGAAGUUCAAGUCUUCCCAGGCCCACCACUUUCAUCGAGUGAGCAUUCGUCUUCUGGUUACGGGGCCAUAGCUCAGCUGGGAGAGCGCGUGCUUUGCAAGCAUGAGGUCGUCGGUUCGAUCCCGUCUGGCUCCACCAGAUGGUUUGAUCACCGAGAUCUUGACCGUCGUCCGCGAAACAUCACUUCGCAUCCUGCUAGUCUGGAUAGACAGCAGUUUGCGUGUUUUCUGACAUCGUAAAGAGGAGAUCGAUCCGAGUUGGGUCGUGCAGCAUAUCGUUGCGCGAGCCUUCAUUAUCUCCGGAUCAUUUCGGCGCUCGCUUCCAGCCGUGAGGUUGGAUGCGGGUUGUAAAUGAUCCUUUUAGCGAAGCUUGACCGCCUCGCUAUCGGAACGAUCUUACGAAGCAAGCUGGUCUUUCUAGUCAAUGUCCGGCUGCGGAUAGCGUUCAUCGAGGGCGCGUGCCGCAAGGCAAUUCUGCAGACAACAUUCUGCCGAGUGUGUGGACAUUGAUAAUGAGAGCAAUCAAGUGCCUUAAGGGUGUUCGGUGGAUGCCUUGGCGCUGAGAGGCGAUGAAGGACGUGCUACGCUGCG